rnacentral:rRNA from 1 species
CAGUGGAGUAUGUGGUUUAAUUCGACGCAACGCGAAGAACCUUACCAGGGCUUGACAUCCUCUGACGGUACCAGAGAUGGUGCUUUCCCUUCGGGGACAGAGAGACAGGUGGUGCAUGGUUGUCGUCAGCUCGUGUCGUGAGAUGUUGGGUUAAGUCCCGCAACGAGCGCAACCCCUAUGGUCAGUUGCCAGCAGGUAAGGCUGGGCACUCUGGCGAGACUGCCGUUGACAAAACGGAGGAAGGUGGGGACGACGUCAAAUCAUCAUGCCCCUUAUGUCCUGGGCUACACACGUACUACAAUGGCAACAACAGAGGGCAGCCAUGCCGCGAGGCAGCGCGAAUCCCAAAAUGUUGUCUCAGUUCAGAUUGCAGGCUGCAACUCGCCUGCAUGAAGAUGGAGUUGCUAGUAACCGCAGGUCAGCUAUACUGCGGUGAAUACGUUCCCGGGGCUU